rnacentral:rRNA from 1 species
GCAGUAGCCGCGGGAAUACGUAGGGUGCGAGCGUUAAUCGGAAUUACUGGGCGUAAAGCGAGCGCAGGCGGUUGUGUAAGACAGGUGUGAAAUCCCCGGGCUUAACCUGGGAACUGCGCUUGUGACUGCACAGCUAGAGUAUGGCAGAGGGGGGUGGAAUUCCACGUGUAGCAGUGAAAUGCGUAGAGAUGUGGAGGAACACCGAUGGCGAAGGCAGCCCCCUGGGCCAAUACUGACGCUCAUGCACGAAAGCGUGGGGAGCAAACAGGAUUAGAUACCCCCGUAGUCCUGUCUCUUAUACA